rnacentral:lncRNA from 1 species
AUGGUUACAGAAAACAUCUUGGAUUUCUUUCUAUGUGAUGCUGAUUUUCAUGAAUUGCAAAGUCGAUUUGAAGGCUCAUUUAAUGCUUUUUGCCCUGAAUGUAUUCCUUCAUGCUCUGCCCAGGGGGUCAAAAUUGCUACCGAGGUCCUGAGGUCUGAGGAAGGAGAGCCUGUUGGAAAGAUGGAUGGACGGAAAGACAUUCUGUUUGCUCUAAGAAGAUAGCUCAAAAAAGCACUAACCUGACUGGACACAUUCCCAGCCAUGAAACAAGGUCGACAAAACAGCUGCAAUGAUGGGAAGGAAAAAGGGAGGCAAAGGGGGUGGGGGGGUGGCUAAUGGAGACCACGAUGGAGAACGAAUAAAAGGAACUUGGUGAUGGUACUGAAGUUUGUU